rnacentral:rRNA from 1 species
AGUGAACGCUGGCGGCGUGCUUAACACAUGCAAGUCGAACGAGAACGGAAUAUAGCUUGCUAUAUUUGUCAGCUAAGUGGCGCACGGGUGAGUAAUGUAUAGAUAACCUGCCCUUAAGAAAGGAAUAACAGUUGGAAACGACUGCUAAUGCCCCAUAUGCCUUUAAUACAUAAGUAUGCAAGGGAAACGCUUUAGUGCUUAAGGAUGGGUCUGUAUGGUAUCAGCUUGUUGGUGAGGUAAUGGCUCACCAAGGCUAUGACGCGUAACUGGUUUGAGAGGAUGAUCAGUCACACUGGAACUGGGACACGGUCCAGACUACUACGGGAGGCAGCAGUGGGGAAUAUUGCACAAUGGACGAAAGUCUGAUGCAGCAACGCCGCGUGGAGGAUGACACAUUUCGGUGCGUAAACUCCUUUUAUAUAGGAAGAUAAUGACGGUACUAUAUGAAUAAGCACCGGCUAACUCCGUGCCAGCCGCCGCCGUAA